rnacentral:tRNA from 1 species
CCCGGAUAGUUAAUUAUAAACACUUAGGUCGUGACCCUAAAAACAGAGGAAACCUCUUCCGAGCU